GGGAAUGAUUUUUCUAACCUGCCUCCACCCUUCCAGGUGCCACGGGAGGCAGACACCAAGUUCUGGGGUCUCCAGCUGCAGUGGGUGGCCGCCAAUUGCUUCUCUCUGUCCAGACUAAUGAGAACAUGGAGAUCACCAGUGCACUGCAGUUGGAAUAGCACGUAAAGAGGGAGCUGGGAAAGAAGCUGGGCAAGCUAAAGGACAUGGUAACCCUGCCCCAUCCAAGAAGAGCUGGAAGGCGGGCACCAGCCUCUGGGGAGGGGAGGUGUGAAGCCAGAGGCAGCUCCAGCCUGGGGGACAGGUGACCCCAGCACCCUCCAGGGCAGUCCUGUGACUGUUUCUUGCUUCCCGCCCUCUGACAUUUAGUGGUGGGUUCGUUCUUCCUAGGUCUGGACAUCAUCAUCCCAGCUGGAGUCAUGGAGCCUCCCAAACAUAGGGAAAGAGAUGGUGGUAUAAGAGGUUCCUUAGAGUCAAACUAGAUUCCGGCCUUGGCUCCACUGGUCACCUACUUUUCAUCUCUAAGUCUCGGUUUCUUUAACUUAAAAGGGAAGUUAGCACCUUCCUCUUGGAGGUGCUGAGGAUUAAAUGAGAUAAUACGUGGAAAGCAUUAGGCAUGUAGCACAGUUAGCAGAUGGUGGUUGGCUCCCUCUGCUUUUCCAUCAGUCUGUGGCCUAGUUUAAAUGGUGGGAGGAAGGGUGUGAGAUUUAAGGCUGGUUGUAAGGGAUCAGUCAGUGUAGUUGGAAAAAUUGUAAGAUGAAGUUAUAGGAUAUAGACACAAACCUUCCUGGAAGGCCAGAAAGUCUGCAUAGCUUCAAUAAAGGAUUUGGCUGAAAGCAGCGUAAUCCCCUUUACCUUGAGUUGAUAGCAAUAGAGCAAAUAACAUGGGAACGUGGGGGAGUUUAUUGAAUAGCUUGUUUACUCAUGUGGUCCUAAGACCAACCUUUGAUUAUCCACGGGUGCAUGAUUGCUCUCUACUCGGUGGUCGGCAAAUUUAAUUACCCACAGGUGUGUUGACUCAAAGCCUCUGUCAUUAAAUCUAUGCUGAAUAAAUGCCGUCAGGGCCAGCUAGUCAAGGUGCACAACUCUUUUUGUGCGUGGUGUGGCCCCUUAGCUGCUCUGUCACUGAAUAUUGGUGUCUGAGUAUGUUAUUCAUCUGCCGUGCAACUGGGGUUUGCAGGACAGACCCCUGCAAGUGGUGUCCCGCGUGAGGCACACUGUGAAGGAUCACAACGGACCCCUCGAAAACAAAGGUGAAAAGAACUGCACAGUCAAUAAGUCAGUAAGUCAUUGAUGCCCGCUCGGAAUUUCCAAGUUUGGCGGGGAUUGUUCAGGCUAGGGUUUCAUCAUGGGACAACAGUUAUCAGCUCAACAGGAACAGUAUAUAAAAGUAUUGAAGCAGCUGCUUAAAACUAGUGGAGCCUCAUUUUCACAGGCUCAAUUAAGGGACCUAAUGCAAACUGUUGUCUCACAUAACCCAUAGUUCCCAGAAAAAGGAACGCUAGACGUAGAGCUCUGGGAACAAGUGGGGAGAAAUCUUAAUCAGCAUCAUGUGCAAGGGCAAUGGGUCCCAGUAUCAUCUUUAAUGCUAUGGGCCUUAGUCAGGGCAGCCCUGGCUCCAUUAUACACAGAAGAGCCUAAAAAGGGGAAGGAGGAGGAACCGUCACCUGCUUUACCACCUCCUUUUCCCUCAGCCCCAAUAUCGCCAGGCCAAAAUAACAAAGAGGAAAUGGAGGUUUUGCCUGAGCCCCCUCCUCCAAUAAAUAGGAAAAAAGACAAGAGCUAUGCUACAGCUAUGGGACCCUUUCUUAGGCAAGAGGCAUUAAGUGGGGAGCUCUUAGCCUGCCUGGUAAUACAAGAUUGACAGGGCAAUUGGGUAUAUAAACCCAUUUCUUUUAACAUUUAUAAAAAGUUAAGAAAAAGCAUUAGAGGCUGAAACCGCGUGGCCAAAUGGGUGGUAGGCAGAAGGAAAUACUUGGCAGCAAAGGAAGCUCGCAGACCUGGAGCCAGCAAGUGCUUCCAGGAACUCAGCCUGCACAGAGGCAGCAGUGACAAGGAGCCAGGCGCAGCACACCAGAGCUGGCCUGAUAGGGAGGGGCAGGAGGCGUGCACGAAGGUCCGCCCAGCGGCAGCAGGGUGAGGGAGCAGCACAGACAAAAGGUGGCACAGACAAAAAGCAGCGCCUGAGCAAGCGCAACAUGACCGCCGCCCCGGGACCCGCCGGCUAGACUCUCUGGCUCCGCGGGUGGCCCAUGGCAAAAUUUCAUGUGUUCCUUGUAUACAAGCGACAUCCCAGAUUAUAAUUCUCUGCUAAGAUUUAAGUACAAUUUAAGAAUUUAAAACACCUCUUUCUAAUAAUGGCCACUGUUGCUUUUACACUAUUCCCCUGGCAAAGCAAGACAGAAAAAUUUGCAUUUACAAUACCAGCUAUCAAUAUUGAAAGGUCAGCUUGCCGAUUUCAUUGGAAAGUGCUUCCUCAAGGAAUGCUAAACAGUGCUGCCAUGUGUCAGUAUCAUGUAAAUCAAGCUUUGUUCCCCAGUAGAAAAGAAUUUCCUCAUUGCAAGGUUAUUCAUUUUAUGGAUGAUAUUCUACUAGCAGCCCCAGUGGAGCCAGUGCUUUUAAGUUUAUAUACCUCUGUCAUAAAGAAUGCACAGCUAAGUGGUUUAAUCAUUGCACCUGAAAAAGCACAAAUGUCCUCUCCUUGGAAGUAUCUUGGGUACAUACUUCCUGGUCAGUAAGACCUCAAAAGGUUAAAUUAAAUACUAGCAACUUACACACCUUAAAUGAUUAUCAGAAAUUACUAGGUAAUUUUAACUGGCUUCACCCCACCUUGGGCAUUCCUACUUAUAAGCUGCAAAACCUGUUUUCUAUCUUAAAGGGUAACACAGCCCUGGAUUCUCCCAGAUAUUUAACCCCUGCAGCAAAAAAAAAAAAAAAA
rnacentral:lncRNA from 1 species